AAUCUGCUAAAAUCCUUCUAUAAGCCAAUUAAAACAGGAAAGGAUUUUUAAAAGAGAAUUAAUCAAAGGGCGAACACAGCACAAAGCUGAAACAAAAUACUAUGGAUGCAAAUACCUGAGACCCAGUGCUGCAGUUUCAGCCAAGUACAAAUGGUCACUGCUGGCAUGGCAUUUCAAAAAGAAAA